AUUAGACCUAACAACAAAACGCGAAAUAAAGUGUGUAUUUUAAAACUGUUGGAUAAACAGUACCUACAAUCAGAAAAACUUACCUUUAAAAAGGUACUCGAUUACAAAAUAUCAAAAAACACGACUGAAUAUCAGCUUUUUAUGGUGACACAAACACAUCACAUAACCGACCAUAUAAAAUAACUGAACGACAACGAACGAACGAACACGAACACUGAACACAGAUAGCGCAGGAUUUGUCAAAAGUCAUGUUCCACCAAUCACAAUACCGACAUCAGCGCCUCUGACAAAAUGGAAGGAAAAUAAAUACGAUUACAUGUUUUUUAUUAGAGUGCGCGGGGCAUGUUAUACUCUAUAUGGCAUAAAGUGACAUUCCUCCGUCAACCCAUAGGACAUGACAGGAGUACAUAGAACACAGAACUAUAACUAGACUGACUAGUUACCCUGACAGUAUAAAACCAACAAGAAUCUACAGGUCGAGCAAGUCUCGUAAAUUUCACGAUUGCGAGCCACGCUUCACGCAACCGUGUUUGCGUACUUGUGUUUCGAGUUGCGUGGUCGUGCGGAGUUAUAUUUACCAAAUUUAAAUCCGUUCCAACAUGCUGUCAAAAUUAAAUCAAUAUGUCAAUAUGGCUACUGGGUGUAAAAGAUAAAUCUUAUUAUAUCUGUUCUUAAUGAGUUUUAGAUAAUUUUAGUUGUAUUUCUUUGUAAUUUUGUGUUGUACAAAGAUUAAUUUAACAUUUUCUCUGGAAGUAUUAAUUUAGAAAGAUAAUAUGCUUCAUUGGUGUUGUGUUUUGAAGUGUGAAAUGCAAAGUAAUUGUGAUAGAAGUCAAGAUAAAGUUCACUUUUAAACUGAACUAAAUAAGGUAUCUGAGAGACAACAAUGGUUAAAUGCAAUACAAUGUACAGGUUUUACUAGCGAAAUGAAAAUUUUCCUGUCCUGUCUGCUGUAAUCAUUUUAUAUCUGGAAAACCAGCCGACUUAAUCGAUAAUAACAAUCUCCAGAUUGGGUUCCUUCAAUAAAUAUGGGCUAUAAACACAAUGAAAUAAGUUCCCCAAAAUCUAAAAUGGAGUGGUAUCAAAGGAGAAUUAAAGGAAAAAAUAUUCAUUUUUAAAUUAUUUAUAAGGCACUGGACUGUCUUAAAUUCUACAAUAAUACUAGAAUCAGCUGAGAGAAGUGGUCUACAAAAAACCAGGAAGGAAACGGAAUAUGUGGCUACGAAAGGCAAAAGAAAGGUUUACAAAGCAAAUGUGACACAUUUUUUUGAAAUAUUUAGGAAUAUCAGUAAAUUGCAUUAAAAAAAUGUAUGAAAAGAUUUUGUUCAAUAAAAAUGUUUAUAUUUAUCACGGAUGUAUUAUUUGGUAUGGCCACAUAUCGUCAGUGAUGUAAUAAUACAUCCUAUCUGUUUUUUCAUGAGUUUUGUAAGAGAGACUAAAAACUUGUCUUAGGGUCACCUCCUGUUUUCAUAUGAUAUUUUUUGACUUGUUUUGUAGUAAAUUAAACUAUCUAUGAACUACAAAACAAGUCAAAACUUACAUAUGAACACAGGAGGUGACCUUAAAACAUGUUUUUCCAUCUCUCAUACAAAACUCAUGAAAAAACAGAUAGGAGGUAUUGUCACAUCAGCAAGGAUGUACAGUGAUAAGUGCCCUAAUAACCGGCAAAAUAUGGGCAACAUAUUUAGUUGUGAGAUAAAAAGAAAUGAAACUAGUCGAGCUGGGAA